ensembl:lncRNA LRRC77P leucine rich repeat containing 77, pseudogene
GUUGUUUAUGUAAGAAUUUCAAGGCCACAACUCCAUAUUUGAAGUAAAGUGCUCAUAAAAUUAAUUGCAAGUAGGUGUAGUCCUUCCUUAGCCUGCUUUUUAAUGAGUGCUGCUAAAGCCCUUAGCCUGCCUGUUUACCCUUGGAGUGGAGCAAUGAACUGAAGAUAUUUGAGUGAGUUCAAGAGAGACUCAGAAGAGAAGAAUUGGAGGCAGCAAACAUAGACAGCACUUUUAAUGCUUUUCUCAUAUGCUGUAAGACAUGAAAGCAAUCUAUUGGGAUGAAAGCUGAAAGGAGAAGCGGGACAAGAGAAGUGAAUCCGUGGAAGACCCCCAAAAGAGGCUGCAGAUUCUUAGUGGACAGCUCUCAUAUCCCCUCCAGGGAAAAUGAUGAAAAAUGUCUUCAGAAAAAUAGCUUUAUGAAGGCAAGAGGACUUUUUGCACCUGCAAGACAUGUCUGAAAGCUCCUCAGGUCAAAACACAAGUAGUCAAGAGAUUUGUCCAUCUAAUUCAUCAUACUACUCUGAUCCAAGUGAGACCCACACUGGGUCAGCUCCAUCAAGGAGAAGAACAUUCCACCCACGUUUGGAUUCUGGAAUAUCAUCCUUGCUUCCAUCAGAUUCUUGUAAGUACCUCACUUGGCACAAGGUAGACAUGACGUUCAAGGAAGUCAACUGCGUUGCCCAAGAGUAAGAGAAGGUAAAAGAAUAAAUGUGUGCCUUUUUCGUGUACAUCCUCUGAAUAGAAUUUUUUGUGGAUUAAAAGACAUUACUUGAAGAAAAAAAAAAGACACCAUUUGGAGGUAAAAUUUUCCUUUUUCAAGACCAUAGAAUUGUUGAUAAGUGAAGCCACCUUUGAAGGUAUAUUCUUAUAACUGAUUAUAUAAAUAACUAACAUUCAGUAAUAAAUAUUGGAAAAUAUUGAAAGAUAAAGAAGAACCUGUAACUGACUGUCCAGAUUAACCACCGUGACUUUUAUUUCCAUUUACUUCUUACACACACAUACAUAUAUGUAAUUUUUAUUUCUUAAGUUUUUUCACUUAACAGAAUGAUAUUGUCAGCAUUUCUUCCAUGCCAUUAAACAUUACCCAAAACAUACUUUUUAAAGCUUGCAUACUUUUCCAUCAUAUUAAUAUCAUUAAAUAUAUUAAAUAUAUGUAACCAAUAA